AUGACCCAAGAUGGUAGUUUGCGGAGAUACAAGUCUUAAGUGCAGAACUCCCAGGUGAUGAAUUAUUUUUCUUUCGUCGUUAAAGUGACUGUUGGCAAUGGCGAAUGAAGAUUCAGAGUCAGAUCUCUGACUAAGGUUCCAAUUUAGUGGCAAAAUGCGCAAGGGAAUACUAGGGUUGUGAGUGUGAAGACUCGAGACGACAUAUAUUUCGUUUCAGAUGAAUAUUUGAGAUGUAGAAAAUAAUUCAAAUUUAUGAGGGUGGCGAUGCUUAGUUUAUGGUUACCCCAGAACAAACAUUAUACUCUAUUUUUGGGACAAAGAUAUCCUGGAAGAACUGACAGAGAGGUAUAUUUGUAUCUUAUGAAUACCAGUUUGAAGAUUUCGAGUGCGUUGGCAGCUGCUGUGAUUACAUUUGAAACGUUUAUUCUAAAUACGAUCACAAAACUAGGAUUGUUUCUUUAUUUGUAAGUAUUUUGGUGGUUAAAUAUAGUAGUUUUUGUAUGGGUUGAAA